rnacentral:rRNA from 1 species
AAUAGAUACCCCGGUAGUCCACGCCGUAAACGAUGAGUGCUAAGUGUUAGAGGGUUUCCGCCCUUUAGUGCUGCAGCUAACGCAUUAAGCACUCCGCCUGGGGAGUACGGCCGCAAGGCUGAAACUCAAAGGAAUUGACGGGGGCCCGCACAAGCGGUGGAGCAUGUGGUUUAAUUCGAAGCAACGCGAAGAACCUUACCAGGUCUUGACAUCCUCUGCUAACCCUAGAGAUAGGGCGUUCCCCUUCGGGGGGACAGAGUGACAGGUGGUGCAUGGUUGUCGUCAGCUCGUGUCGUGAGAUGUUGGGUUAAGUCCCGCAACGAGCGCAACCCUUGAUCUUAGUUGCCAGCAUUCAGUUGGGCACUCUAAGGUGACUGCCGGUGACAAACCGGAGGAAGUGGGGAUGACGUCAAAUCAUCAUGCCCCUUAUGACCUGGGCUACACACGUGCUACAAUGGAUGGUACAAAGAGCUGCGAACCCGGCGAGGGUAAGCCAAUCUCAUAAAGCCAUUCUCAGUUCGGAAUUGUAGG